rnacentral:rRNA from 1 species
GCAGUGGGGAAUUUUGGACAAUGGGGGCAACCCUGAUCCAGCAAUGCCGCGUGUGUGAAGAAGGCCUUCGGGUUGUAAAGCACUUUUGUCCGGGAAGAAAUCGCACCUGAUAAUACCGGGUGUGGAUGACGGUACCGGAAGAAUAAGGACCGGCUAACUACGUGCCAGCAGCCGCGGUAAUACGUAGGGUCCAAGCGUUAAUCGGAAUUACUGGGCGUAAAGCGUGCGCAGGCGGUUGUGCAAGACCGAUGUGAAAUCCCCGGGCUUAACCUGGGAAUUGCAUUGGUGACUGCACGGCUAGAGUGUGUCAGAGGGGGGUAGAAUUCCACGUGUAGCAGUGAAAUGCGUAGAGAUGUGGAGGAAU